rnacentral:lncRNA from 1 species
AUGGCUUUAGAAUUUCAGUCUGAGAGACAGAACGGCAGUAGACAACUGCAUGUGAUGGAAUCCGAACACGGCACUGACUGUCCAGAGGAUGCAAACUUCUGGAAGAACAAAUACAAAGAUCUGCAGGAGAGAUCCACAGAGGAGCUGAAACAGAUGGAAAUGAAAUGGAGGUUCAUGCUGGAAAGGGUGGAAGAGAGGAAUAAACCGGAGACUAUGUGCCCCCGACUGAAAGACAGAGACAAAAGCUUCCCAGAUUUUAGCAAACACGAGAGCUCGGCUGAGCUGGAAGAGAUGCGGCUCAAGGAGAUGAGGUUUCAAAGCACCAUCAAACAGCUGGAGGAAAGAAACCAGAAGAACAUUAUGAUCCAAAAAAGCUGGAAGCGACACAUAUAUGAACUGGAGCAAAAGGAAGAGCUUUGGAAGAGAAAAGUGAUGAAUUUGGAGAAGGAAAACAGCAUUCUAGAGGAGGAGGUGACGUUUUGGAAGAGGAAAGUAAACAAGGUGGAACUGCUAAAAGAAAUGGCUGAGAAACACGAGCAAUGGGAGAAACGGGUCCACCAGAUCAAUGAAAAGAAGAGACGAGACCAGGUACGGCAGUGGAAGGCAAAGGUCAAAAAAUUGAAAAAAGAAAAAGCACUGAAAGCUCAUCAGGACGUCGGCGACGUGCCAACGGAAGUCAGAGCUCAGCAGGUGAGAGCUGGAGAGUUAUUGGAGGAACAGCAGAGCUCUGGCAGACAAAUAAAGGUGCUGAAGAACAAAAACAGCAGGUUGGGCCAAAAAGUUGGCAGCCUGGAGAAGAGAAUCAAACAGCUGGAGGCAGAAAGAGAGAUGGCCCAGAAAUUCCAGAGAUGGGAGAAGAAAGUGGAACAGCUGAAGGAAAACAAGAGGCGGAAAAAGAGGGAAAAGGCCAAGGCCAAGAUCAAAGAGCUGAUUAAAACCAACCGAGAGCUGGAAAAGGCCUGGAAAAGAAAAGUGGGAAGGUUAAAGGUGAAAAAGACGAGAGCGGCCAGCAUCAUCCAAAGUUUGGAGAAAACAAUUAAGGAGCUGAAGAUGAAGUUUGAACUUCCAGUGAUGGCAGAAGAAAGUGUUGAAGCAUGA